rnacentral:rRNA from 1 species
UACGGAGGGGGCUAGCGUUGUUCGGAAUCACUGGGCGUAAAGCGCACGUAGGCGGGUCUUUAAGUCAGGGGUGAAAUCCCGGAGCUCAACUCCGGAACUGCCUUUGAUACUGGAGAUCUUGAGUCCGGGAGAGGUGAGUGGAACUCCGAGUGUAGAGGUGAAAUUCGUAGAUAUUCGGAAGAACACCAGUGGCGAAGGCGGCUCACUGGCCCGGUACUGACGCUGAGGUGCGAAAGCGUGGGGAGCAAGCAGG